rnacentral:sRNA from 1 species
AGUGACUAUGAGCCAGAAAGUAUGGCUGGUUUUUUUUUCUCUGCAACUUCUGCUGUAUAGUAACUUCAUCUCUUACAUUUGUUAGGCAAACCUGUAUGUGGGACUGGUGGUCAUGUGUGGCUUCGUCCUUUUUGAUACUCAACUCAUUAUUGAAAAGGCCGAACAUGGAGAUCAAGAUUAUAUCUGGCACUGCAUUGAUCUCUUCUUAGAUUUCAUUACUCUCUUCAGAAAACUCAUGAUGAUCCUGGCCAUGAAUGAAAAGGAUAAGAAGAAAGAGAAGAAAUGAAGUGACCAUCCAGCCUUUCCCAAUUUGACUUCCUCUCCUUCCACCCCUCAUUUCCUUUUUGCACACAUUACAGGUGGUGUGUUCUGUGAUAAUGAAAAGCAUCAGAAAAGCUUUUGUACUUUGUGGUUUCCUCUAUUUUGAAUUUUUUGAUCAAAAAACUGAUUAGCAGAAUAUAGUUUGGAGUUUGGCUUCAUCUUC